rnacentral:rRNA from 1 species
CGAAGGGGGCUAGCGUUGCUCGGAAUUACUGGGCGUAAAGGGCGCGUAGGCGGACAUUUAAGUCAGAGGUGAAAGCCCAGGGCUCAACCUUGGAAUUGCCUUUGAUACUGGAUGUCUUGAGUUCGGGAGAGGUGAGUGGAAUGCCGAGUGUAGAGGUGAAAUUCGUAGAUAUUCGGCGGAACACCAGUGGCGAAGGCGACUCACUGGCUCGAUACUGACGCUGAGGCGCGAAAGCGUGGGGAGCAAACAGGAUUAGAUACCCUGGUAGUCCACGCCGUAAACGAUGAGUGCUAGUUGUCGGCAUGCAUGCAUGUCGGUGACGCAGCUAACGCAUUAAGCACUCCGCCUGGGGAGUACGGUCGCAAGAUUA